UAGACCGCCUGGGGAGUACGGCCGCAAGGUUAAAACUCAAAUGAAUUGACGGGGGCCCGCACAAGCGGUGGAGCAUGUGGUUUAAUUCGAUGCAACGCGAAGAACCUUACCUGGUCUUGACAUCCACAGAACUUUCCAGAGAUGGACUGGUGCCUUCGGGAACUGUGAGACAGGUGCUGCAUGGCUGUCGUCAGCUCGUGUUGUGAAAUGUUGGGUUAAGUCCCGCAACGAGCGCAACCCUUAUCCUUUGUUGCCAGCGAUUAGGUCGGGAACUCAAAGGAGACUGCCAGU
rnacentral:rRNA from 1 species